CUUAUUAUAUAAUAAAUUAACAAUUAUAAAAAACAUAAAUUUAUUAUAAAGUUCGACUCGUAUCCGACUCGACUUGACCUAUACCCGACCCGACCUGACCAGUAUCCGGGACCCUUCAGGUCCGAAUCCAGAAGAUCAAGUAUAAGAUCCGUCGGAUAUACGGGUCAUAUCCGAAAUAUGCAUACUAAAACUGGUCUGGAUCCGAAAUGUUUGAUUCUG
rnacentral:lncRNA from 1 species